rnacentral:rRNA from 1 species
ACCUAGGGAUGCGCAGCUAUAAUGCAGUCGAGCGAUGGAUUAAGAGCUUGCUCUUAUGAAGUUAGCGGCGGACGGGUGAGUAACACGUGGGUAACCUGCCCAUAAGACUGGGAUAACUCCGGGAAACCGGGGCUAAUACCGGAUAACAUUUUGAACCGCAUGGUUCGAAAUUGAAAGGCGGCUUCGGCUGUCACUUAUGGAUGGACCCGCGUCGCAUUAGCUAGUUGGUGAGGUAACGGCUCACCAAGGCAACGAUGCGUAGCCGACCUGAGAGGGUGAUCGGCCACACUGGGACUGAGACACGGCCCAGACUCCUACGGGAGGCAGCAGUAGGGAAUCUUCCGCAAUGGACGAAAGUCUGACGGAGCAACGCCGCGUGAGUGAUGAAGGCUUUCGGGUCGUAAAACUCUGUUGUUAGGGAAGAACAAGUGCUAGUUGAAUAAGCUGGCACCUUGACGGUACCUAACCAGAAAGCCACGGCUAACUACGUGCCAGCAGCCGCGGUAAUACGUAGGUGGCAAGCGUUAUCCGGAAUUAUUGGGCGUAAAGCGCGCGCAGGUGGUUUCUUAAGUCUGAUGUGAAAGCCCACGGCUCAACCGUGGAGGGUCAUUGGAAACUGGGAGACUUGAGUGCAGAAGAGGAAAGUGGAAUUCCAUGUGUAGCGGUGAAAUGCGUAGAGAUAUGGAGGAACACCAGUGGCGAAGGCGACUUUCUGGUCUGUAACUGACACUGAGGCGCGAAAGCGUUGGUUAGCAAACAUGGAUUAGAUACCCCUGGUAGUCCAACGCCGUCAAACGAUGAAUCGCUAAAUUGUUAAAACGGGUUUCCCCCCCCUUUAAGUGCUUGAAGUUUAACCGCAUUUAAGCUUCUCCCACCUUGGAAGGCCGCAAGGGCUGAAAUCAAAGGAAAUGGCGGGGGGCCGCCCCAACGGUUGGACCAGGUGUUUAAUUUGAAACAACCCGAAGAACCUUUCCAGGUUCUGACCUUCUUUGGCCAACCUAGAGAUAGGGCUUUUCCUUUGGGAACCGAAUGACCGGUGGUGCCAGGUUGUUGUCAACUUGGGUUGUGAGAAGGUGGGUUAAAUCCCGCCACGAGCGCCACCCUUGAUUUUAGUUGCCCUCCAUUAAUUGGGCCCUUUAAGGUGGCCGCCGGUGGCCAACCGGAGGAAGGGGGGGAAGGCGUCAAAUCCUCCUGCCCCUUAUGACCUGGGGUACCCCCGUGGUUCCAUGGGCGGUACAAAGAGGUGCCAGGCCCCGAGGGGGAACUUAUUUUAUAAAACCGUUUUCCGUUUGGGUUGUUGGGUGCAACUUGCCUACCAGGAACCGGGAUUGGUUGGUAUUGCGGAUCAACCAGCCGCGGGGAAUUCGUUUCCGGGCCUUGGUCCCCCCCCCCGUCCCCCCCCGAGAGUUUGGUACCCCCGAAGUUGGGGGGGUAAGGGUGGACCCAGCCGCCUAAGGUGGGCCAGAUGAUUGGGGUGAAGUCGAACAAUGA